ACCUGGCUGACUCAGUCUUUAGAGCAUGGGACUCUUGAUCUCAGGGUUGUGAGUUCAAGUCCUAUGCUGGGUG
rnacentral:tRNA from 1 species